GUUAAGCGACUAAGCGUACACGGUGGAUGCCCUGGCAGUCAGAGGCGAUGAAGGACGUGCUAAUCUGCGAUAAGCGUCGGUAAGGUGAUAUGAACCGUUAUAACCGGCGAUUUCCGAAUGGGGAAACCCAGUGUGAUUCGUCACACUAUCAUUACGUGAAUACAUAGCGUAAUGAAGCGAACCGGGGGAACUGAAACAUCUAAGUACCCCGAGGAAAAGAAAUCAACCGAGAUUCCCCCAGUAGCGGCGAGCGAACGGGGAGCAGCCCAGAGUCUGAAUCAGCUUGUGUGUUAGUGGAACGGUCUGGAAAGUCCGACGGUACAGGGUGAUAGUCCCGUACACCAAAAUGCACAGGUUGUGAACUCGAAGAGUAGGGCGGGACACGUGGUAUCCUGUCUGAAUAUGGGGGGACCAUCCUCCAAGGCUAAAUACUCCUGACUGACCGAUAGUGAACCAGUACCGUGAGGGAAAGGCGAAAAGAACCCCGGCGAGGGGAGUGAAAAAGAACCUGAAACCGUGUACGUACAAGCAGUGGGAGCAUCCUUUUGGGUGUGACUGCGUACCUUUUGUAUAAUGGGUCAGCGACUUAUAUUCUGUAGCAAGGUUAACCGUAUAGGGGAGCCGAAGGGAAACCGAGUCUUAACUGGGCGUUAAGUUGCAGGGUAUAGACCCGAAACCCGGUGAUCUAGCCAUGGGCAGGUUGAAGGUUGGGUAACACUAACUGGAGGACCGAACCGACUAAUGUUGAAAAAUUAGCGGAUGACUUGUGGCUGGGGGUGAAAGGCCAAUCAAACCGGGAGAUAGCUGGUUCUCCCCGAAAGCU
rnacentral:rRNA from 1 species